GUUAAGCUGAGGGUGGGAGGCGCUAGGUAGUUAAGCUUGCUUGCAGCUAGCCCAUUGAUCAGUAUGGACUGGGACUGCCACAACAGACACUGCUCACAGACAGACUUACCAACAGACAGACUGACCAACAGACAGAGGACAGCACCUAUACUCCGUAGGCUACUGCAGAGAGAGAGAGCAAAAAAGAGUGAGAUUGCCACAACAGGUUUCCAUAGACUGCUGUAGCGAGAGAGUGAGAGAAAAUGAGAGGGAGAUGAGAAAAUAGAGAGAAUUGAAGAUCAGAUAAUGAAAGAAGGGUGACCAGUGAAUGGAGAGAAGAGAUAGAAGAUAAAUAAUAACAGAAAAAAUAUGCAAAACAAGACUAAGAGAAAAAAACGAUAUUAGAGAGAGAGAGAGAGAGAGAGCGAGAGAGAGAGAGAGAGAGCGAGAGAGAGAGAGAGAGAGAGAGAGAGGAGCCAGAGCACGUUGUUCGCAGUGUUCUGAGCAGACACUGUCAGAUCGGCAACAACUCGACGUGGACCGUUCAACACAUGCAGUCACAAAAGAGGAAAGAAAGGUGACAAGGAAAAGAGCUGCCACUGAGAGAAAGAAGAGAAGCGGGAGAGUGAGUGUGUGAAUUGUGAAGCUGGACUGGAAGAGAUGCCAGGAGCCCUGGGUCUGGGAAUCACACACACAUCAAACACAGUAUGAAGCUGCCUAGACGUGAUGACAGCGCUGCUAUACAGACUGGCCUUGCAGAAAAACUCCCCUCUUUGCCCAGUCAGGAUUACUUACUGCAAGGGUCUUAACCAGCAGUACUCCAUCUCAGAGGCUAAAAACAGACACGGAGAAACCCUUAACAAGGCCUUAUUAGAUUACUAGUGAUCCUCAGCUGGAUGUGUUUAAAUGAGUCACAAGCUCCCAGGUAUUCAGUGACAAGAGACGGCGGUCUUUGCUUGGACUGUGCCAAGCAAGGUUGGCCAUUUUUGGGUCCUUGUGGACGGAUGGGCAGACGUGUCGGUGUCUGUCAGCUGCUCAGUAGUCAGUGUAGAUCCUGUGGGGCAGUCAGCAGCUACAUCUGGCUACUGGGUCGCUGAUGGCUGCCGUGUUCUUCAUGUCUCAAAUAUUGUGAUUAUGAUUUAGUAUAUGUUGUAUUCUAAAUGUACAUACAGCCAUCUUUACUUCAGUUUGCUGGUAGGUUGUUGACCUGGCAUACAGUGUAGAAUUCUGUGUGGGUGAUUCUACAGCUACAUUGUCUGCUGGGUUUUAGGCCCUACUCAAAUAAUCACUCACUUAAUCUCACGGUAAGUAUUUUCUCCCAAUUCAGAGACCGUGUGACAAUGCUUUUUCAUCAAAUAAAUACAAGUUAUAAAAGCAGAGUUGUGAUUUCUAAUGAGGUCCGCUGUAUUUGGAUUGUUUUUUUUUGUCUAGAAAGAACAAUAUUUCACCGUGGCCUUGAAAUGUACAUUGUCUUAGAAGUUGCAGCACAAAACAAUUCAUUAUUUCUGCAGACAUACUGUACGCACACACUGGUGAAAGUAAUUACAUUCAUGGAUUAUUUGACAAUUGUGUUUAAUGA
rnacentral:lncRNA from 1 species